rnacentral:lncRNA from 1 species
UGGAGUCUGUUUUAUAAUUAGCAUCAUGUUUAUCAAAAUUUUCUUGCACCUUAUUGGAAGUGGAGAAUGGUCCCAUAAGGAAAACCAGAAGGCUACAACAAUACUUCGGUCUCAUUAGUUCUGCGCAUUCCAUUGUAUGUCUUGUGUAUCAAUUACUCUUCGCUAGUUUAUAGUAGAGAGCGAAAAUUUGUGGUGCAAAGAUUGAGCGGCCCCAGAGAAACCCGAUGAUCUAUUUACAUCGCCAUUUAUUUUUGUAACUCUAGUGCCCUGGUAUGACUUCAAC